rnacentral:ncRNA from 1 species
CGGGAUCCGUCCCGUUGGAAUGUGGCCGCGAUAAAAGGCGGCUGAACCGUGAA